CCUACGGGGGGCUGCAGUGAGGAAUAUUGGUCAAUGGGCGGGAGCCUGAACCAGCCAAGCCGCGUGAGGGAAGAAGGUACAGCGUAUCGUAAACCUCUUUUGUCAGGGAACAAAGGCGGGGACUAGUCCCCGGAUGAGGGUACCUGAAGAAAAAGCAACGGCAAACGCCGUGCCAGCAGCCGCGGUAAUACGGAGGAUGCGAGCGUUAUCCGGAUUUAUUGGGUUUAAAGGGUGCGCAGGCGGCCUGUUAAGUCAGCGGUAAAAGUCCGGGGCUCAACCCCGGCGAGCCGUUGAAACUGGCGGGCGUGAGUUGGAGAGAAGUACGCGGAAUGCGCGGUGUAGCGGUGAAAUGCUUAGAUAUCGCGCAGAACCCCGAUUGCGAAGGCAGCAUACCGGCUCCACACUGACGCUGAGGCACGAAAGCGUGGGUAUCGAACAGGAUUAGAUACCCGGGUAGUC
rnacentral:rRNA from 1 species